AUGUUCUACCAGAUCUCCCUGGAGCACGAGAUCCUGCUGUACCCGUGCUACUUUGGCCCCAACUUGCUCAACACGGUGAAGCAGAAGCUCUUCACCAAGGUGAAGGGGACCUGCACGGGGAAGUAUGGCUUUGUAAUUGCUGUCAGCACCAUCGACAAUAUUGGUGCUGGUGUGAUCCAGCCAGGCCGAGGCUUUGUCCUUUAUCCAGUUAAGUACAAGGCCAUCAUUUUCCGGCCCUUUAAAGGGGGGGUCGUGGAUGCCGUUGUCACUCAGGUCAACAAGGUUGGACUCUUCACAGAAAUUGGGCCCAUGUCUUGCUUCAUCUCCCGACAUUCCAUCCCAUCAGAGAUGGAGUUUGAUCCUAACUCCAACCCACCAUGUUACAAGACAGUGGAUGAGGAGAUUAUGAUUCAGCAGGACAAUGAGAUCCGCUUGAAGAUUGUGGGGACCCGCGUGGACAAGAAUGACAUUUUUGCUAUUGGCUCCCUGAUGGACGAUUACUUAGGGCUUGUGAGCUGAGCACGGGGGCUUCCU